rnacentral:lncRNA from 1 species
UCCAUAGGAUAUGCAUUAGCAUAUAUAUACAAUAGAAAAUUGAAAACUGACCUGAAAAAAAACCUUUUGGUUAUCUUUAAAAUCAUAGUCAAGUUCAAAACAAUGAAAAAUAUAUCCACAUUACACUUCAUUUUCAUCUUAAUCUAUCUGCAAAAAAUAACUAGAACACUUCUAGUGCGCCUCCUCUAGAGACAAAGAGCUUGAAUAUUUCGAUUUUAUGAGAAAAGAUAGAGAGGAGAAAUGAUGGACCUUUUAAACUCGCUUUUUGCGUAUGGCCUUGAUCUUAUAGUACCCAUUAGCAAGCUUCAAGUGCUCGGCCUAAACCCCAACCUCAGGUCAGUCUAGGAGUCUUCAUCUUUGUUGGUUCAAGUAGCUCCUUCACACGGUGGGUGAGGUUUUCUCCCUUCAAGAACACUGGAGUUGAAAUAAAAAUCAGGAACGAAGGUUUCUUGGAGUUUUCUAAUUCAGGGACUUCCUCUUUCUGAUUUGGGCUUUUC